rnacentral:hammerhead_ribozyme from 1 species
ACCCAGUAGACGAGUCCCAAAUAGGACGAAAUGUGCAUCAUGGAU